UACGUAGGGCGCAAGCGUUGUCCGGAAUUAUUGGGCGUAAAGAGCUCGUAGGCGGCCUGUUGCGUCGGUUGUGAAAGCCCGGGGCUUAACCCCGGGUCUGCAGUCGAUACGGGCAGGCUAGAGUUCGGUAGGGGAGAUCGGAAUUCCUGGUGUAGCGGUGAAAUGCGCAGAUAUCAGGAGGAACACCGGUGGCGAAGGCGGAUCUCUGGGCCGAUACUGACGCUGAGGAGCGAAAGCGUGGGGAGCGAACAGG
rnacentral:rRNA from 1 species